rnacentral:lncRNA from 1 species
UCAUAAGCAAAGUAUUAGAUUUACAUGAAUCAAAUGUCAAUUCCAAUCAUCUCUGGAAUCUCAACAUUCCAAGCAGAGACAUUUUCUCUGUUGAAACAGGAUUGAGUCAAGAAGCCAAAGACCAGGCCUGUCACCCACCCCUACACGCAGUCAGCACAUCGCCUUUCAACUUUGGUCCAUGGAGCUGCUGCUGCCAAACCCCAACCUGCUGGCUUCUCAAAUUCUGCCACUUCUUGGAUCAGGGCCCCUUAAUCAGGCAUCAUUUCAAGGCUGAGAAUGAGGUUCCAAGGUUGAAGAGUCAAAUAUUGGUUCUCUGUGGGUACAUGAAAUGAGUUUUUCUUCCCUACCCUGUCUUUUCGUUAUGUCUGUAUCAGUGUCCUGUUGCAGAGAAAAGAAUCUACUCUAGUCAAUAUAACCAGAAGGGAUUUACUUGAGAAUGUUAAAUGCCACACAAGAUCAUUAGGAGUGUUGAAGACCCUGACUCUUGAUGAGGUUUUCAGGAAUCAUUCAGAAAGCUACACUGCAGAACUGGGCUGUCCUUGCCACUGUCCAGAAGCUGUAAGAGCAGGAAACUGCAUAUGACAUCAAGAGGAUNUUAAGGGAGCUGCUGUCCCUGCCACUGUCCAGAAGCUGUAAGAGCAGGAAACUGCAUAUGACAUCAAGAGGAUGAUGCUACAACAUCUGCCAGCUCCAGGGCGACACUACAUCUGCCAAUAGCUGCACCAGUAAAAUGGACUUCUGGUAUCCUGAUUCCCUAGCCAUAUGACUUAGUUUGAAAUAAAAAUUUUGUCCUAGUUCA